GGACUACACGGGUUUCUAAUCCUGUUUGCUACCCACGCUUUCGUGUCUCAGCGUCAGUUACGGUCCAGAAAGCCGUCUACACCACCGGUGUUCCUCCUGAUAUCUACGCAUUUCACCGCUACACCAGGAAUUCCACUUUCCUCUCCCGCACUCUAGUCCCUCAGUAUUCGGCGCACCCUCCCGGUUGAGCCGGGAGAUUUCACACCAAACUUAAAGAACCGCCUACACACCCUUUACGCCCAGUAACUCCGAACAACGCUUGCACCCUCUGUAUUACCGCGGCUGCUGGCAC
rnacentral:rRNA from 1 species